UGCCUUUUGCGAUAUUGAGCAGAGAGUUUCCUUUUCUACUUAACAAUGCGAGGAGGUUCAGAGAAACAAAGGGUAUUAUGAUAAAUACAUUUUUGGAGCUCGAAUCCCAUGCGAUCGAGUCUUUCAAAAUGCUUCCCGUUUACCCUGUGGGACCUAUUUUGCAUUUGGGGUCGGAUGGAGCAAACGCUCACCAAGAAAUCAUGCAGUGGCUAGAUGAUCAGCCUCCAUCAUCAGUAGUGUUCUUGUGCUUCGGGAGCAUGG
rnacentral:misc_RNA from 1 species